rnacentral:rRNA from 1 species
UACAGAGGGGGCGAGCGUUAUUCGGAAUUAUUGGGCGUAAAGGGCGCGUAGGCGGCUUUUCAAGUGACGGGUGAAAUCCCUCGGCUUAACCGAGGAACUGCCUGUCAGACUGGAAGGCUUGAGACCGGGAGAGGUGAGUGGAAUUCCCAGUGUAGCGGUGAAAUGCGUAGAUAUUGGGAGGAACACCGGUGGCGAAGGCGGCAUCCUGGACCAAUUCUGACGCUGAGUGAGCGAAAGCCAGGGGAGCAAACGGG